GAUGAAGAACGUAGCGAAAUGCGAUAAGUAAUGCGAAUUGCAGAAUUCAGUGAAUCAUCGAAUCUUUGAACGCACAUUGCGCCCGCCAGUAUUCUGGCGGGCAUGCCUGUCUGAGCGUCGUUUCGACCCUCGCGCCCGGCUUCUGUCGGGGGCGGUGUUGGGGAUCGGCCACACCCUUCAGUGGGAGGCCGGCCCCUAAAUUCAGUGGCGACCACGCUGUAGCCUCCCCUGCGUAGUACUAAAACCACCUCGCAGGCGGAGAGCGGUGCGGCCCGCCGUAAAAACCCCCAACUUUUACAAGGUCGACCUCAGAUCAGGUAGGAAUACCCGCUGAACUUAAGCAUAUCAAUAAGCGGAGGA
rnacentral:misc_RNA from 1 species